GUUUGUAAACUAAAAGUGGAGGUUCAGUUUUUUCUUUUGAGUAGUGCACAGCACGUAGUGAAUUUUUUUUUAUUUCUUUUUGCGUGGUGACCAAUUUUCAGGCGAGUUCUAAAUUUUUUAGGUUUUUUUUUUUUUUUUUUCAUUAUUUUUUAUUGGAUAAAAUUUAUGUAUAGUAUUUUAGGUGCUGUUACUUAAGUUCCUCUCUUAAGAUUCUUUCAUAUGGCUACUUAAUUUUAAAAAUAUACUUCUAUAAUGAGAAAAAAUCCACGUGAUAAAAUCUUAAGAGAGUGAUCUAAAGAAUAAUAUCUAAGGAAUAGUAUCUAAGUAUUGUAGUUAAGUCUUACCUCUUCUUUUUUUUUUUUUUUUUUUUUUUUUUUUGGGUAAACAAAACACUGUUACUCCCUCUUUCUCCUCCCAUAGACAAACCCACGCCUCUCAACCUCUCCCAAAAAGACUGGAUUAGCAGGAUAUUGAUUUUGGGAUUAGAGAGGGUGUUGAUUUUAGGACAUAGCUUUUGGGAUUGGAGAAGUAAAGUAUUGCUGUGGGCUCCUGAAUUUGUGACUCUAUUUUGUGAAGCUUCUAUGCUUGUGCUUGUGCUGUGUGCUCCAGAUGUUUGCUGAAAAGGGCUAGGCUUAUUGGCUUAGUCUUGUAGUUGUGGGGUACCCUAAUGCAAAACCAAGGUGCAAGAUGCAAACUACUAGCUGGAGGAUCGAGUAGAAGAACUCUAGGAUGCAAACUGUAGGCUGGAGGAGAAGAUGGAUUGCAUCAUACAAUAUUUGAGGAGCAAGGGUGACAGUGACAUUUGUGGCAGUGGGGAGAGCUCAUCUACUAACUAGAACACACCUUGAUAUGGGAUUGGUGGCAAAAAGAUAGCUUUUGUGAGGCUACUUGAACUCAAAUAAUUUUCUAUAAAGUUUGGAAGCUAAGACAUUAUUUGUAUAUAAAUGGUUGUAAUUACUUUGUAAACAUCUUUAUUGCAUUUUUAGAUUGUAUGGAUGUUUUUUUUAUGGAUUUGGUUAGAAAUGAAUGGAUGUUUGUUUUUAUGGAUUUGGUUAGAAAUGAA